CGUUUUUCUUUUUCUUUUGUCUCUCCUUUCCCCCCCCCCUUCCCUUGUUAAGGUCCCACUCAGACAUUAGUCAUUUGAAAUAAAUGUAUCUGGUACUGAUAUGUCUUUAAAUCAAUUAAUUGUAUGGUAAUUGACAAUUGUCCUAGUGGCUUGUAUUUAAUGGUGGAUAUUUAUGCCCCCCGCACCUAACUCGGGAGCUGGAUCUGUAAAUGUAAACCUGAAUGUAAACCGGAAUGCUUUUUGAGUUUGGAUACGAAAUACUUUGAUUAACUGACAUUGGUGGCCUGAUGAAGAACUGGGUUUGAAACGAGCCGAAAGGAAUAGACCGGUAUAGCUCGUCGCCACCUUGGAGCUCAUAAAUCUUGGACGCCACCGAUUAACUUCAACUGGCACCGUUUGCAGCCUGUGAUAAAGAGGCUCCGUUAAUAUAUGGGACUUGACUCUCUCAGUCUAUUGGAACAAGUUUGCAGCCACAUUGAAUUGAAUGGAAUCGAAACUGUUGUGUUUAUAUUGAUUGUAUAAUUUACUUGUGCUGCAAUAAUAAUAAUAGCUGUGUUGGCACA